UUCAUAUUCUUCCCUUGAAAAUACAAGAUUGAAAAAAAGUAGGUUUCAUAUAAUAUUCAUCUUCAUCAUUGAAAAAAGUGAAUUUAAGAUAAUAUUUGUAGAAACCUAAUUUUGUCCCUCCCCAAUAUCACUUUUAUUCAUUUUACCUUAUUCUACCGUGUAUCCUAAACCGCAUAAUUCCCCCCUCCCCAUAAAAUACAAAAAUAAUAAUAACAAACCUCUAACCAACUUUACACCUCAUCCUAAUAAUCAACCUAUUCCACCCCCCACAUUUUAUUCCUUUUCCAUAACAAAAUGGCGGCGCACAGGGAAUACAAUAUAGAUACAUGGAUAAUUUCCAAACCAAAAAAAAGACACCUGGACACAAAAGAAAAAAGAGAACCCACUAGAAAAUGCUUUUGCUCUCCAAAAAAAAAAUAAAACAUCAUUCACAUAUACACCAUCACUAGACAAAAAAAAGGGGGACCUUCACUCACGAUUCACACACAUACUCACAAUUCCAUAGAUCCUCACCAAAAAUAGAAUAAACACACGCCAUUGCUUUCCCUUUGUCUUCUUCAAGAUCACUCAACACACACAGAAAUAUAUACACCACAAAACAGAGAACAAUUGAUACUCAUUCUCACGCAACAGUCAUACAUGCACCCUCCUCCAUUUUUCAUCAUCACUCAACCAUACUCGCACAAUACACAAAUAGAGAGAGAGAGCUGACAGGAGGAUGACGUGAGAGGAGAGAUCAAGUUGGUUGGCCGGAGAGAUCGAAAGGUUCAUAAAAAAAUAGAGAAUUAAGGACUGAUAGAAGGAAAAUUUGGGACCAAAACAGGGAGAUCGAGAAAAGAGAGUUGAGAUCGAGAGAGAAGAGAGUAACACGGAGCUAAGGGAACAUAAUUUUUCAUGGUUUGGUUACUGUCCCAGCGACGGAUUCACCAGAAAACACGUCACAGCCGUAUUCCUUCUUCGUUUUCAGUAAUCGAAGCUCGCCGGAGCUACAACUAUAGAGAGCAGUUAAGCAAACCCCGAUUUUACUUUCGAUUCCAUCCAAGCUCGUUGAAAUCUAUUUCGAGUUGGGGUUUAUAUUUGAGGUUCAAAUCGAGGUAUUCCAGUGCCGCUUCGUCGAGCAAUUCCAUUGAAAUAAAACGUCAAAUUUGAGUGUAUUCAUUUGGCCGAGGAAUGCUCCAAGGUACUUGUGUUUAUUCACCGGGGAAUGUCCUGAAGUAUUUUGUAUCCGGAGGACGUUCGUGAUGAAGGCCCGAGGCAUUGGGUAAAGCACUGAAGCAUGUUAGAAUUAGUGUAGGAUAGAAUAGGAUUUAUUUUUUGCAUUUUUUUUAUUAGUUAUUUUGGACUGUAUAAUUGGAUUGAACAUUAUAUUUUGGAUUUGUUUGUUUCGUGUGUU